rnacentral:rRNA from 1 species
CCUACGGGUGGCAGCAGUCGAGAAUCAUUCACAAUGGGGGAAACCCUGAUGGUGCGACGCCGCGUGGGGGAAUGAAGGUCUUCGGAUUGUAAACCCCUGUCAUGUGGGAGCAAAUUAAAAAGAUAGUACCACAAGAGGAAGAGACGGCUAACUCUGUGCCAGCAGCCGCGGUAAUACAGAGGUCUCAAGCGUUGUUCGGAAUCACUGGGCGUAAGGCGUGCGUAGGCUGUUUCGUAAGUCGUGUGUGAAAGGCGCGGGCUCAACCAGCGGACGGCACAUGAUACUGCGAGACUAGAGUAAUGGAGGGGGAACCGGAAUUCUCGGUGUAGCAGUGAAAUGCGUAGAUAUCGAGAGGAACACUCGUGGCGAAGGCGGGUUCCUGGACAUUAACUGACGCUGAGGCACGAAGGCCAGGGGAGCGAAAGGGAUUAGAUACCCCUGUAGUC